rnacentral:rRNA from 1 species
UCGGGAAUUUUGGGCAAUGGGCGAAAGCCUGACCCAGCAACGCCGCGUGAGGGAUGAAGUAUUUCGGUAUGUAAACCUCGAAAGAAUGGGAAGAAUAAAUGACGGUACCAUUUAUAAGCUCCGGCUAACUACGUGCCAGCAGCCGCGGUAAUACGUAGGGAGCAAGCGUUGUUCGGAUUUACUGGGCGUAAAGGGCGCGUAGGCGGCGCGGUAAGUCACUUGUGAAAUCUCUGAGCUUAACUCAGAACGGCCAAGUGAUACUGCUGUGCUAGAGUGCGGAAGAGGCAACCGGAAUUCGUGGUGUACCGGUGAAAUGCGUAGAUAACAAGAGGAACACCUGAGGCGAAGGCGGGUUGCUGGGCCGACACUGACGCUGAUGCGCGAAAGCCAGGGGAGCAAACG